rnacentral:rRNA from 1 species
UGCGUAGGUGGUAUGGUAAGUUAUCUGUGAAAUCCCUGGGCUCAACCUGGGCAGGUCAGAUAAAACUGCUGUACUCGAGUAUGGGAGAGGGUAGUGGAAUUUCCGGUGUAGCGGUGAAAUGCGUAGAGAUCGGAAGGAACACCAGUGGCGAAGGCGGCUACCUGGCCUAAUACUGACACUGAGGCACGAAAGCGUGGGAGCAAACA